CACUAAGAAGCUUUCACGACAGCGACAG
rnacentral:tRNA from 1 species